rnacentral:rRNA from 1 species
GUCCUCUUGAUAAUAUUUUGAGGUCUGGCCUGCUCACUGACAAGGUUUUAAAGAGCCGCGGUAUUUUGACCGUGCAAAGGUAGCAUAAUCAUUAGUCUCUUAAUUAGAGGCUGGAAUGAAUGGCUUGACGAGAAAUCAACUGUCUCUUAAUAAUUUUUAAAAUUUAACUUUUGAGUUAAAAGGCUUAAAUUUUUCUUUAGGACGAGAAGACCCUAUAGAGCUUAACAUUUUAUUUUUAUAUAGUUUUUAGUUUAUCUUUCUAUAUUUAAUGAUAAUGUUUUGUUGGGGUGACAUGAAGGAUAAUUAAACUCUUCAUUAUUAAAUCAUUGAUUUAUGUUUAUCAUGAUCCAUAAUUUAUGAUCACAAGAUUAAGUUACCUUAGGGAUAACAGCGUAAUUGUUUUUGAGAGCUCAUAUCGACAAAGCAGAUUGCGACCUCGAUGUUGGAUUAAGAAAAAUUUUGGGUGUAGGAGCCCAAUAAUUAGGUCUGUUCGACCUUUAAAUUCUUACA